GUGUCUUCUCUCGUAAGUGAUUUCAACAUCAACAAACGUGGGGACAGGAUCUUCCACGACAGGAUCUUCAAAAAUGAAAAUGACUCAAGGUCUGGACUAGAGGCUGACUUGCCCCUUUGUUGUCCUCUUGUUUGAGGACCCUCCAUCGAGAUCGGGAGUUACGCAUGUAUAGGUACCUAUUGGGAUCAACUAUAUUUCACCUGUGGUGAUGAUAUUUAAGAAAGAUGACAAUAUGCGUACAAAUUUGAUGCAGUGUUUCAGGACCCUCCAUCGUGAUCGUGACUUCUGCUUGCAUAUGUACCUGUCUUGAUCACUAAAUAUCCCACCUAUUGUGAUGGUAUUAACAAAGGCGGUGAAUUAAGAUAUGUACAAAUUUGAUGCAGUGUUUCAGGACCCUCCAUCGUGAUCGUGAGUUAUGCAUGUAUAGGCACCUGUUAUGAUCACUUGCUAUCCCACUUGCUGUGAUGGUAUUUAACAAGGUGAAAUAAGGUAAUUUCCAUGGAAUCAUUGAUAUGAGUUCAACAUAUAUGUAAUAGCUUCUAUGCAUUAACACGACUCACUAUUAGAAAAGUCACGCAUGACUAUUGAAGUAAUUGAGUUUCUUAUUUAUGUACAAGACAUGGUAUCAACGAAACGAUGCAAAAUUGUUAAAAGUAAAGUAAUUGUUAUAAUUUUUAUAUGGAGAAUUGAAAUUGGUUGGUACCUUGGGUGGGUGAUCCAUGAAUAACUUCCGGGUUAUAUUUCCUCCAUCUAUAGCCAUCAUUCUUUUUGUUGUUGUUGCCUUAGACAAGAUGCGAACAAAUUUGAUGCAGUGUUUCAGGACCCUCCAUCGUGAUCGGGAGUUACACAUGUAUUGGUACCUAUUGGGUUCAACCACUAUCCCACCUUUGUGAUGAUUAUUCAUGAAGGAAUCUGUUACGUUGGAGGCUUGUGUGAAUGUGUGUCUUCCCUGGGGAGUGAUUUCAACAAUAGUCAGGUCUUCUGCAGGUUGCUGUAGUCGCUUUCUAUCAGAGCAACCCCCUUGAACACGUUUGUAAUUGCUUCUACACAUUAACCCCACACAUUUUAGCAAAAUAAUGAAUAAUGAAUAAUUAUUAGAGUAAUUUUCUCAUUUUUGUAUAAGACAUAGUAUAAACAAAAUGUUGCAAAAUUGUUGAAGUAAUAAUUGAGUUUUAUUUUUCCCCCCUAUAGAGAAUUAAAUAUGUGGGUACCUUUGAGUAGGUGAUCCCCGAAUGACUUCCUGAUUAUAUUUCCUCCAUCUAUAGCCAUCAUCUAAGACCUCAUACUUUCCUUUGUUUGCUGCAUCAGACAAGAUGCGUACAAAUUUCAUGCAGUGUCUCAGGACCCUCCAUCGUGAUCGUGACUUGGCUUGCGUAUGUACCUGUUUUGAUCGCCCAAUGUCCCACCUGUUGUGAUGGUAUUUCAAAUGACGGUGAGUUAAGUAAUUGCCAUGUGAAUCAUUGAUACGUGUUCGAGAUAUUUAAAGAAGUAAAUAGAUUAUGACGCAGAAGCAAUGACCAUCAAUAAAAUAAAAAUCCAAUACCGUUUAAGACUUACCUAUACAGUCUUUAUUAUCAACUUCCCCAAAUUGAGCCGUUAAGUCAAGUUGAUUAUUCAUGGAGGAAUCUGUUACGCGAGAGGCUUGUGGGCAAGUGUGUCUUCCCUCAUAAGUGAUUCCAACAGUAGUCGGGUCUUCUGUAGAUUGCUGCAGUUGCUUUCUGGCAGAGCAACCCCCUGAACACAUUUGUAAUAUCUUCUAGGCAUUAAGACCCACACUGUUAGCCAAAUAAAAUCCAUAACUUAUGAAGUAGUUAAGUUUCUCUGUAUUUUUUUUCCUCCGGUUUUUUUUUUUUUUUACUCCCUUGUAUUACUAUUUUAAGUAGGUCUACCUUGGAUUUUUGGAUCCAACCGAUGCUUUCUGUUUCCUCCAAUUGUACCCAUCAUAUAAAGUAUCUUGACCUUCAUAUAUUCUUUUAGACACUGAAAAAGUCAUUCUGUAAUACAAGAAUUCAUCUUAGAAAAAUGCAUCACAAUUUUCGUAUAAGCUUCUGAAUAGAAAUAAAUAAAAUAUAGUUGUGCAUAUAUACCUGCUCAUUCUAUCGGCAUCUUUCUUUGUGUCCGCAUGUGAAGGUUGUAACGGCGUCUUAUGUGCUGUGAUAGAC